GGCCCUGGCCGACCGGUCCGCCUCACGGCGUGAACUGCGUCGGUUGGGCCUUCCUUUCCUGGUGAGCUCCGUAUGCCGUUUACUCGGUGUGCGGAUGUCUGGCCAGGACUUUUACUUUGAAAAAAUUAGAGUGUUCAAAGCAGGCCUAUGCCCGAAUAUAUUAGCAUGGAAUAAUAGAAUAGGACGUCGCGAUCCUAUUUUGUUGGUUUCUAGGACCGCCGUA
rnacentral:rRNA from 1 species